rnacentral:rRNA from 1 species
UACAGAGGAGCCAAGCGUUGUCCGGAUUGACUGGGCGUAAAGCGCACGCAGGCGGACGCGCGCGUGGGUGUGAAAUCUGGCCGCUUAACGGCCAGGCGCCAUCCCAUACGGCGCGUCUGGAGUGAUGCAGAGGUCGGUGGAAUUGCCGGUGUAGUGGUGAAAUGGCGUAGAGAUCGGCAGGAACACCCAGGGGGAAACCAGCCGACUGGGCAUCUACGUGACGCUGAGGUGCGAGAGCGUGGGGAGCGAACCGG